UGCAGUUUUAACCUCAUUGUAGUCAUUAAACACUCAAUCUUGUACCUUGUCCACGUUCGAUUUUGGAUUUUUUUUUUUCUUCAGUUGAAAGUGUGUAAUCUUGCGAUUUAGCUGGGUUGGUAGCGGUUUAGAACGCUUUAACCAAGAUUUAAAAAAAAAAAUAAAUAAAAAUCUCCCGGAAUCGGCGAUAUUGAAGAAUUGGGCGGGCACGCACUGAAUGCACUUGAGGCACUUCUCUAACGGUCGUGGACUUCUCAACUCGAGCAAAGCGAGCGAAGUUUGGCCACAGCACUCCUGACCUCUACCCAAGGCGCCAUAGCAGUCCUGAGCUCAACCCAAGAGACAAUAGCAGGCACAUUAUCACUGAGGCACAUCAGCUCUGAGAUUCAUCCAUUAAGGCAUGCCAGCAGUGAGAUCCACACAUCAAGCAACACCAGCACUGAGAUGAAGUCAUGCCAGCUCUGAGAUCCAUAGACCAAGCCAUGCUGCACCUUCUCUAGUCCCAUCAAAGCAUACUGAGCCACACCAGGGAGCAGACAUCUAGUUUGCAAACAUCGGCUGUGAGGCGUAACCGUCUGAUGUCUGCGGCCACAGAAAAGGACAUUGAUUCCACCAUCAAAAGAUUGCUAUAUCUGGCCCCAGAUAGUGAUGGUGGCAGGAGAGAGAGGAUGAAGAGAAAAGAGCGUCAGGAGAGUACAACAGGUUAACGGACUUGCGACUUGUUUUAAUGUUCAAGAGUUGUGUGCACAGUGCCACUUGUUCAUGAACUGAAACAUAGAUGUUCAAGAGCUGUGUGAAACAUGGCACUGACAUUCAAGCAUUGUUUUUUGUUGUUUUGUUUAAAUGUGAAACAAUAAAUAUUUUUUCAGAAUACUAUUGUUGUUCAGGCAUUUUUCAUUUGGGCCAAGGGUGUGUAUAAAGUGGCUAGAUUAAGGUUUUGUUGAGGCUGACAUGUGGAACCAAAUGUUUGGUCCUGAAUAGUACCAGAAUAGGGCCAGCUAUAGUCACACAUUAGGCUGAAAUAUGGCUAUGCCAUGGGCCAUAUGUGGCCCGAGUUCUGGCAACCAGACCUGGUCCAGUCAUGUACCGUAAUUCACUGCUGUAUUUGGGCCAAGAGAAAGUGGGUUGUGUGGCCCAUCACUGGGCCAAACCAGUUUUGCUAUGUGGGUUAUUUACAUUAUGUGAUGUUUUUUUUUUUUAAGUUGUGUACAUUUUGGUACUUUUUUUAGAAAACAAAAAGGUUCCAUCUACAAAGUUGAACUCUAACUUGGCUCUAUAAGGUUCUAUCUGUGUGAGCCAAUCAGCACUUCAAAUGCACACAUGAGGAUCAAUCAGGAUCAGCGUUCUUUGUCAUGUCACCAGACUGCUCCGCGAUAGCGGAAGCGAUCGCAUAAAAAUGCUAAAUCAGUGAAGAGAAGACUAAAUUUCACACAACGCGAUGUUUAUUAGAAACCUCAUGAUGAACUAUUUUAUUUAUGAUCUUGUCAAUGACAGCAGCCCAAAUUCCAGGGAAUUACAGUCUAUGUGUGUGUUUUGUUGUAUCUUAUUGCUGAGGAGUUAUUUUCAGUUAGACACCAUGCUAGGCCCAUCAGCGCUAUUAAGAGGAUAGAUCUGGGUUUUGUAGGCUAUUUGCUUUAUUCCAGUCAUGUCGUUGUCAUACAAUGGAAAGUUAUGUAAAUAUUAGGUUAUGUUUUAACCUUUAUCCAUCCUGUGUACUUGUACUGAGCUGUAUGUACUAUGUAUCUAUAUAGCUACACGCUCUGGCACACUGGAUUAAAGUUAAAUUAAAGUUAAGUUAAAUUUGACAUUGUUGGUAAAAACUGAGUUGUUGCAUAGUUGAAGUUAUUUAAAUAUUUUAAAUGUGAAAUAUUUUUAAUUAUAUAUAUAGUCAGUGAAACAUUUUUUAAAUGUUUAUCAAACUUUGUUAAACACCUUUGCUGAAGCAUUGUCUGUUUUCUUGCAGUUUUUUAGUCUUAAAAUGUCUUAAAUUUUACAAUAUUAAGCCUUAAAGGUCAUAUAUUCAAUAAUUUAAUUGAUUGGGUCUUAAUUACAACAAUAAACGUUAGCAUGUUAUUUCAUGAAAACUGAUGUCUAGAGAGAAAGCCAUUUUACCUGUCCCACUUUCUGUGGAAUUGUCAUGAUCAUUACUGGGAGUGCCCUUGUCUGCCACUAGAGGGCACUCCAAUCUGGACUCUUGGUUUUCAUCACUCGGAACUUCAUUUCCCAUAACCCACUUCCUGGACUCAUUAUCCUUCAUUGCACCAGCUGUUUUGAGUUUGUAAUUAGUGUUCUGUCUAUUUAUACUCAGUUGUUUCUGUCUUUGUUUGUGGUUUGUUGUAUUAUGUUACGUGCACUUUUGUAUCUCUGGCUUUCUGUUUUUGUGGACUGUUUCUGUGGAAUUUGACCCUUGCCUGUUUCCUGGAUUACGUGUUUGGAUUAUCCCAUUAAA